rnacentral:rRNA from 1 species
UACAUGGGGUGCAAACGUUGCUCGGAAUUAUUGGGCGUAAAGCGCGCGUAGGCGGUUUGUUAAGUCGGAUGUGAAAUCCCUCGGCUCAACUGAGGAAGUGCAUCCGAAACUGGCAAGCUUGAGUACGAAAGAGGGUCGCGGAAUUCCCGGUGUAGAGGUGAAAUUCGUAGAUAUCGGGAGGAACACCGGUGGCAAAGGCGGCGACCUGGGUCGAUACUGACGCUGAGGUGCGAAAGCGUGGGGAGCAAACAGG